GGACUUGUUAUUUACUACAUGUACAACUGCUGUCUUCCUGGGAGAUUAUUUUAAAAAAAAAAAAAAUCAAGGAGAAUAAAAUAAACUUUGUGAUUGCUAUCUACUUGAGAUGGUAAAAUCUCUUGUGUUGAAAAUAAAAGGUUUGGUCAAGGAGAAUAAAAUAAACUUUGUGACUUCCUGGGAGAUUAUUUUAAAAAAAAAAAAAAUCAAGGAGAAUAAAAUAAACUUUGUGAUUGCUAUCUACUUGAGAUGGUAAAAUCUCUUGUGUUGAAAAUAAAAGGUUUGGGGUUUGAACCCCACUCACAUGGGUGAGAAGAGAAUUGGGUUCCCAUUGAGCUAAAUAAAAAACAAAUAAAAUGAACUAUAGAAUGACCAC
rnacentral:lncRNA from 1 species